AAACACUCCAAAGUCAGCAGGAGGAAGUAGAAAUGAGACAGAGGCCUCUGUCUCCUAAUCUUUUCCAUAGGCUACUGUUUUCUUUCUUUUCUCAUGAGGAAAAAUGAUAAAAGCAAAAUAAACAAAUUAGCUACCACUUAUGAAAAUCCCCAGGAAAUUCCUUUUCCAGAGUUCUCACUUACUAAUUUGGCUAACAUUACCAAUGGUAACAGACCCCACGUAUCCGCCACAAUUGCUGUGAGUUGCAGAGGAAAAAGACUGGGAGGAAAUCUUCACUUUUCUUCUGCAACAGCAACCAACAGAAAUGAAAGAGCCAGGGGAUUUUGCAAAAUAUCAACUCCUGAGAACUAAGAAUGAGAGCCUUUCCUGCCAAGCCCAUUCUGUGCCAGUCAUCAUAAAAUACUGCAGCUUGCAAAGGAAAGACAAGUGAUGGAGACAAGGCCAUGGAAAGCUACAGCAGGGUCUGCAUGGUGAUCCCAGCACCUCUGAGCUCUCAGACUCACUUUAGGCAAGUCAUUUUACACAUCCCCUAUCACCCCCUCAGGUUUCUUGCCUGCCA
rnacentral:lncRNA from 1 species